rnacentral:rRNA from 1 species
UGGGGAAUAUUGCACAAUGGGGGAAACCCUGAUGCAGCGACGCCGCGUGAACGAAGAAGGUAUUCGUAUCGUAAAGCUCUGUCCUAUGGGAAGAUAAUGACAGUACCAUAGAAGAAAGCUCCGGCUAAAUACGUGCCAGCAGCCGCGGUAAUACGUAUGGAGCGAGCGUUGUCCGGAAUUAUUGGGCGUAAAGGGUACGCAGGCGGUUUAAUAAGUCGAAUGUUAAAGAUCGGGGCUCAACCCCGCAAAGCAUUGGAAACUGAUAAACUUGAGUAGUGGAGAGGAAAGUGGAAUUCCUAGUGUAGUGGUGAAAUACGUAGAUAUUAGGAGGAAUACCAGUAGCGAAGGCGACUUUCUGGACACAAACUGACGCUGAGGUACGAAAGCGUGGGGAGCAAACAGG